CCUACGGGAGGCAGCAGUAGGGAAUUUUCCGCAAUGGGCGAAAGCCUGACGGAGCAACGCCGCGUGAGUGAGGACGGCCUUCGGGUUGUAAAACUCUGUUCUUGAGGAAGAACUCCGGUCAGGUGAACAGUCUGACUGGUUGACGGUACUCAAGGAGAAAGCCCCGGCUAACUACGUGCCAGCAGCCGCGGUAAU
rnacentral:rRNA from 1 species